GCCUGUGGUAACCAGCCUUCCCUGGGGCGGGCCCGCCUCAGCCCGGCCCUGCGCCUGAGGGCGAGGACGAGUCUCCUCCUCCUGCUGCCGUCGAAUCCGGCCUCUCGUGAGGAUAAAGCUCCGGUGUUGAGGCGAAUGCCAGGACAGGCUGUUCUUUAAAGAUGGAAGUUACUAUGAAGGCAAGUUUGUUAAUGGAGAAACUGUGGGGAAUGGAUUUCAAUACUAGGCAUCAGGGGCAGUGGAGAAAUGACGUAUUCAAUGAACGGGGUGCUAUAGUUAAUUGUUCUGGUGACAUCUGUGAUGGACUGUGGAUCAAUGGCUUCCCUGCUGACUGUAGAAGUUUUGUAAGAAACCAUGAUGUAGCAGGCAUUUCUGAGCAGCCUGUGAAGAGGACCACAGCAGAACAGAUAUUCACACUGCAGCCCAUGGAGGACCCCAUGCCAGAGCAGGAAUUCUGGAUUUGCACUGGCUGAUUUACUAGUCCCUAAGGGAGACAGAGCUGGAAUCUGGAUCUGACACGCUAUAUGGAGCAGGAGAUGCUUGAAGCAGCCAGCAUGAAAGGAGGCAUAAAGCCAAGUGGCAGGAUAUCUGCUGAGAAAGCUGAGAAGAUGACAGUCUCGCAGGAGAAAAUGAAAGACAGCAGAUCUCGCAUGACAUCCAAAGAAUACAAGCUACAAAAGGAUUAGCGCCUCAUAAAGAAUUCUAAGACAUUACAAGGCCAGUAUGUGCUUAUGGUCCAUGAAGUGACCAUGCCCCAACUCUUGGGCCAGACUCCCACACCUGCCUUCAAACUCUUGAAUUUUCCAGAGAAACCAAAACCAAGAACAAAGAUUCUUUCAAAGUCACCAGCAAGUAAAAAGGAUCAAACCCCACAGCCAGGGCUCUUAUCCAGGGGACACUGAAGUCAAUGGAAUUUUUCCCAUAGAAUGCAGUGGAAAUUGGAUUCGGUCUUUGCAUCCCAGUCACCCUUGUAAGGUUUUGUCAUGCAGGAAUGGGACUUCAGUUUUGAAAAUUACAGUCUUCUAAUAGCCAAGAAAAUAAUUGCCUUAAAGAUCCACAUCAUGGUCAUUGUCUUACUAUUAACAUCUUAGAAGAGAAAAGAUAUCUUCUCUGUCGAGAUUUGAGAUACAGAUUAAAAUUUAUCAGUUCUGUUUUUCUG